AACGAACGCUGGCGGCAGGCCUAACACAUGCAAGUCGAACGCUCGUAGCAAUACGGGAGUGGCAGACGGGUGCGUAACGCGUGGGAACAUACCCUUUGGUUCGGAAUAACUCAGGGAAACUUGAGCUAAUACCGGAUACGCCCGAGAGGGGAAAAGAUUUAUUGCCGAAGGAUUGGCCCGCGUCUGAUUAGCUAGUUGGUGAGGUAACGGCUCACCAAGGCGACGAUCAGUAGCUGGUCUGAGAGGAUGAUCAGCCACACUGGGACUGAGACACGGCCCAGACUCCUACGGGAGGCAGCAGUGGGGAAUAUUGGACAAUGGGCGCAAGCCUGAUCCAGCCAUGCCGCGUCGAGUGAUGACGGCCUUAGGGUUGUAAAGCUCUUUUACCCGGGAAGAUAAUGACGGUACCGGGAGAAUAAGCCCGGCUAACUUCGUG
rnacentral:rRNA from 1 species